rnacentral:rRNA from 1 species
AUUGAACGCUGGCGGCAGGCAUAACACAUGCAAGUCGAGCGGAGAUGAGGUGCUUGCACCUUAUCUUAGCGGCGGACGGGUGAGUAAUGCUUAGGAAUCUGCCUAUUAGUGGGGGACAACAUUCCGAAAGGAAUGCUAAUACCGCAUACGCCCUACGGGGGAAAGCAGGGGAUCUUCGGACCUUGCGCUAAUAGAUGAGCCUAAGUCGGAUUAGCUAGUUAGUGGGGUAAAGGCCUACCAAGGCGACGAUCUGUAGCGGGUCUGAGAGGAUGAUCCGCCACACUGGGACUGAGACACGGCCCAGACUCCUACGGGAGGCAGCAGUGGGGAAUAUUGGACAAUGGGCGGAAGCCUGAUCCAGCCAUGCCGCGUGUGUGAAGAAGGCCUUUUGGUUGUAAAGCACUUUAAGCGAGGAGGAGGCUACCUGGAUUAAUACUCUAGGAUAGUGGACGUUACUCGCAGAAUAAGCACCGGCUAACUCUGUGCCAGCCGCCGCCGUAAUAC